UUUCCGUAGGUGAACCUGCGGAAGGAUCAUUAUUGUAUAACCGAGGUGCGAGGGCUGUCGCUCACCCGAAAGGUCGUGCACGCCCGAGUGCCCUCACACACAUCCAUCUCACCCCUAUGUGCACCACCGCGUGGGUCCCCCUUUGGCUUGUUCGGAGGGGGGCUUACGUUUUCACACAAACUUUGUAUGCAGUGUAGAAUGUAUUUUUUGUUUUUGCGAUCACGCAAUCAAUACAACUUUCAACAACGGAUCUCUUGGUUCUC
rnacentral:misc_RNA from 1 species